rnacentral:rRNA from 1 species
UUCCGGAGCUAACGCGUUAAGUCGACCGCUGGGAGUACGGCCGCAAGGGUUAAAACUCAAAUGAAUUGACGGGGGCCCGCACAAGCGGUGGAGCAUGUGGUUUAAUUCGAUGCAACGCGAAGAACCUUACCUGGCCUUGACAUCCAGAGAACUUAGCAGAGAUGCUUCGGUGCCUUCGGGAACUCUGAGACAGGUGCUGCAUGGCUGUCGUCAGCUCGUGUUGUGAAAUGUUGGGUUAAGUCCCGCAACGAGCGCAACCCUUAUCCUUUGUUGCCAGCGGGUCGUGCCGGGAACUCAAAGGAGACUGCCGGUGAUAAACCGGAGGAAGGUGGGGAUGACGUCAAGUCAUCAUGGCCCUUACGGCCAGGGCUACACACGUGCUACAAUGGCGCAUACAAAGAGAAGCGACCUCGCGAGAGCAAGCGGACCUCAUAAAGUGCGUCGUAGUCCGGAUCGGAGUCUGCAACUCGACUCCGUGAAGUCGGAAUCGCUAGUAAUCGUAGAUCAGAAUGCUACGGUGAAUACGUUCCCGGGCCUUGUACACACCGCCCGUCACACCAUGGGAGUGG